GAAACAUGGAUUAAUACCGUAUAAAACAGGGGUAUCGCAUGGUACUAUUUGUUAAAGAUUUAUCGGUUGUAGAUGGGCAUGNGUCUGAUUAGCUAGUUGGUAGUGUAAUAGACUACCAAGGCGACGAUCAGUAGGGGUUCUGAGAGGAUGAUCCCCCACACUGGCACUGAGAUACGGGCCAGACUCCUACGGGAGGCAGCAGUAGGGAAUAUUGGUCAAUGGGCGAGAGCCUGAACCAGCCAUGCCGCGUGCAGGAAGACGGCCUUCUGGGUUGUAAACUGCUUUUAUCAAGGAAGAAAAAGGUCCUGCGGGGACAAAUUGACUGUAUUUGGUGAAUAAGCACCGGCUAACUACGUGCCAGCAGCCGCGGUAAUACGUANGGUGCAAGCGUUGUCCGGAUUUAUUGGGUUUAAAGGGUGCGUAGGCGGCCUUAUAAGUCAGUGGUGAAAUACUACCGCUUAACGGUAGAGGUGCCAUUGAUACUGUAGGGCUUGAAGUAUAGACGAGGUAGGCGGGAAUUUAUGGUGUAGCGGUGGAAAUGC
rnacentral:rRNA from 1 species